rnacentral:rRNA from 1 species
UACGUAGGGUGCAAGCGUUAAUCGGAAUUACUGGGCGUAAAGCGUGCGCAGGCGGUUCGUUGUGUCGGUGGUGAAAGCCCCGGGCUUAACCUGGGAAUGGCCAUGGAAACUGGCGAACUGGAGUGUGGCAGAGGGGGGUGGAAUUCCGCGUGUAGCAGUGAAAUGCGUAGAGAUGCGGAGGAACACCGAUGGCGAAGGCAGCCCCCUGGGCUAGCACUGACGCUCAGGCACGAAAGCGUGGGGGAGCAAACAGG